CAAACGAAAAAUAUUAAUUAAGUGGAAAAGAUUACACACUAAAGCGAAUCAGUCCAAAUAAAAAAUAAAGUGCACAUAGCCAAAAAAAAAAAUCCUAAAUGGCAGCCUGAGUCCGCCCUAACCCAACAAUUAUUUAGGAGUAUUACAUAUAAAUAGAUAGUGUGGUUUUCUAUUUCCAAUUCUAUCUUCUUCUAUCCGACCCCCCACCCCCCCACCCCCACCGCCACUGACUAAUAUUGCCUUCAAGGUUCAAUUGUCUGCCUUCUUCUCCUGCUAUUAUGGGUUAUCAAUAUUGUCUCCUUGUAUCCUUUUACAUUCAAUUUUUCAGCUUUCAAGUGUGGAACUGUGAUGGAGUGCAUGGAAAGCUUCACACUUUCGUCUUACGGAGAAGAAUUAUAUCUUGCUAACGAAUUAACAAGAAAGGUUAUGUCAGACCCAGUAGAGUUAGCAAGAUACAUAAGUGCGCCAAUAGUACUGAGAUAUUAUACUUCAGGAUCAAGAAUCUUUUCAUCAUUUUCUUUUUUAGAUCGAAACAAAUUUUUACUCACUUCAAGUGAUCGAAAAAUUAUUGGAGUAUUCAAUGAAUGUGCUUUGUCCAUG